rnacentral:lncRNA from 1 species
GUCAAGAAACCUCAAUUCAAAUCCUGCCAUAAACACUUGCCAGCUGUGUGAUAAUGGACACAUGACUCUGCUAUGCUCUGACAGUCUUCUCUCCCUCAGCUCCUAAAUGCUGGCCUUCUGUUCCAGUUGGACCAACCUUGAAGUAUUUUGAAGUUUUCUGGAUGCUACAUUUUAAGAUGUACUGUGACAAGCUCAAG